GGAGAGAUGGCAGAGCGGUUUAAUGCAGCGGUCUUGAAAACCGUCGAAGGGGCGACCCUUCCGAGAGUUCGAAUCUCUCUCUCUCCGCCA
rnacentral:tRNA from 1 species